rnacentral:rRNA from 1 species
GACGAACGCUGGCGGCGUCCCUAAUACAUGCAAGUUGAGCGAUGAAGAUUGGUGCUUGCACCAAUUUGAAGAGCAGCGAACGGGUGAGUAACGCGUGGGGAAUCUGCCUUUGAGCGGGGGACAACAUUUGGAAACGAAUGCUGAUACCGCAUAACAACUUUAAACAUAAGUUUUAAGUUUGAAAGAUGCAAUUGCAUCACUCAAAGAUGAUCCCGCGUUGUAUUAGCUAGUUGGUGAGGUAAAGGCUCACCAAGGCGAUGAUACAUAGCCGACCUGAGAGGGUGAUCGGCCACAUUGGGACUGAGACACGGCCCAAACUCCUACGGGAGGCAGCAGUAGGGAAUCUUCGGCAAUGGACGAAAGUCUGACCGAGCAACGCCGCGUGAGUGAAGAAGGUUUUCGGAUCGUAAAACUCUGUUGGUAGAGAAGAACGUUGGUGAGAGUGGAAAGCUCAUCAAGUGACGGUAACUACCCAGAAAGGGACGGCUAACUACGUG